rnacentral:rRNA from 1 species
CCUACGGGAGGCAGCAGUGAGGAAUAUUGGUCAAUGGACGAGAGUCUGAACCAGCCAAGUAGCGUGAAGGAUGACUGCCCUAUGGGUUGUAAACUUCUUUUAUAUGGGAAUAAAACGUUCCACGUGUGGGAUUUUGUAUGUACCAUAUGAAUAAGGAUCGGCUAACUCCGUGCCAGCAGCCGCGGUAAUACGGAGGAUCCGAGCGUUAUCCGGAUUUAUUGGGUUUAAAGGGAGCGUAGGUGGAUUGUUAAGUCAGUUGUGAAAGUUUGCGGCUCAACCGUAAAAUUGCAGUUGAAACUGGCAGUCUUGAGUACAGUAGAGGUGGGCGGAAUUCGUGGUGUAGCGGUGAAAUGCUUAGAUUUCACGAAGAACUCCGAUUGCGAAGGCAGUUCACUGGACUGCAACUGACACUGAGGCUCGAAAGUGUGGGUAUCAAACAAGAUUAGAUACCCUUGUAGUC